rnacentral:rRNA from 1 species
GACGAACGCUGGCGGCGUGCUUAACACAUGCAAGUCGAACGCUGAAGACCUGGCUUUUGUUGGGUUGGAUGAGUGGCGAACGGGUGAGUAACACGUGAGUAACCUGCCCUCUUCUGGGGGAUAACGCCCGGAAACGGGUGCUAAUACCGGAUAUGCACUCAUCCUCCCAGGUGGGUUGGUGGAAAGGUGUGUUCGGGUGGGGGAUGGGUUCGCGGCCUAUUAGCUUGUUGGUGGGGUGAGGGCCUACCAAGGCUUUGACGGGUAGCCGGCCUGAGAGGGUGACCGGUCACAUUGGGACUGAGAUACGGCCCAGACUCCUACGGGAGGCAGCAGUGGGGAGUAUUGCACAAUGGGCGAAAGCCUGAUGCAGCGACGCGGCGUGAGGGAUGGAGGCCUUCGGGUUGGAAUCCUCUUUCGCUCAUGGUCAAGCCGCAACUGUGGGUUGUGGUGAGGGUAGUGGGUAAGGAAGCGCCGGCUAACUACGUG